AUACGGAGGGUGCAAGCGUUACUCGGAAUCACUGGGCGUAAAGCGCGCGCAGGCGGGCUGAUAAGUUGGAUGUGAAAGCCUACGGCUCAACCGUAGAACUGCAUCCAAAACUGUCAGUCUAGAGUGUGGGAGAGGAAGAUGGAAUUAGUUGUGUAGGGGUAAAAUCCGUAGAGAUAACUAGGAAUACCAAAAGCGAAGGCAAUCUUCUGGAACACUACUGACGCUGAGGCGCGAAGGCGAGGGGAGCAAACAGGAUUAGAUACCCCGGUAGUCC
rnacentral:rRNA from 1 species